ACUUGGACCAGGAAGAUCUGGGAUUUGUGCUGAGCCAUGAAGCAGCCAUGGGCAAGUUACCAUCUCUCAGCCUGACUGUGUAUGUCCUCCAAUGCUCUUUGGAGGAAGGACAGGCUCCAGAUUUAAUUCUGAUAGCACUUUGCAAAGGCUAAACGCCAUUCUCUUUAGAAGAGCCUACUGAGAUUUUGUAUUUUUCUAGAAAUUGUAAAGAUCCAAAAAGCUCUCUUGGUCAGGUCAGCAAAAAAAGGAAAAAAGACACUUCCUUCUACAAAACGUUGCCUCUAUGCUGCAUGAGCCAUAGAUCUAAGGCCAGUCAUCCUUCUUCUACCUGUGCAUCGUACCUUCAAGUGUGGAUUAGAUUCCCACCUGCAGUGGGAACAGAUGUACGGCAACUGGCAUUUUGUGCUUUGCUUCAGAUGUCAUGAAAAUGCUGAGAUCUGAAAUGAUACUCUGGAGCUUACUUCAAACAGUGUAAUUUGAGCUGCUUGGUAACCAGGAUGUAUCCUUCCUGUGGUGGGUUCAUCUGAGAUAAGCAUAUGCAUUUUUUUUUUACACAUUACUGGGCUGGAGAACUGCAUUGCAUAACAUAGCAGAUUUGCAGAACAAACAAGCCCACGGGCCAAGGGAGAUGCCGCCACUAGAAGUGCCCGCUGCAUGGCUGAGCACGAUGACAGCUUUGGACGACACGGUUCCUUCGGAGUAAGUUGAGAAUCAACAUCAAUACCAGUGGAGACUCAUGAAUAAAUAUUGAUUAUAAUAUCAAUAAUUCUCUUCAAAGCAAGCAAAUAAAUAAAUAAAUUAUGGAGAUCAGAAAAAUGAUGAUAGCGAAGGGAAUCGGAUCAUUAAUGACCACCAGGGGGCAACACUUAAAAACUAAAUGUAAAAAAGGAGAGGAUUACAUCCCUAUUACAGACCAGGAAGAAGAGGUGGUGGCCGGUCAGCCCACAUCAACUCCCAAAAUACAUUCUCUGCUCCUAACAGACUAGUGUAAAGAGGGGGAGGAGGGCUCCUUGCACGACUGAAAGAACUGUGAUGGAGAGCUAGGAAAAGGAAGAAAAGGAGGGGGCAGAUGACCCCACUUCUUAUCAACUGCCAAACUUCAGGAAGCGGUGGGGGCAGGAGGAAAUGGAAAUACUGCACAGGUCAAAAAUAUUUGCACAUGCCCAGUAACGGAGCAAUUGGAGGGAGUAAAAAUGUAAAAUUAGAGGGAGGGGCCACAAGGAAACAGCGACACUAAUCCUUCCCAAAGGAAUACCUACUUGUGUGAAUGGAAAACAACAGAUUUGAAGCUACCAUUGAGCGUGAAGUGUGGACCUUGCAAAUCUAUUACAACAGUAAAAGAAGUGUAUUUGCUACGAAGAAAUGCUCCCAUGUGGAUAAGCCCCCAAAGAGAGGGCAGACACGAGGGGGAUGCCACAAACACAUGUCUCAACAAGCAAAUUAAAGAUAGUGACAAUGACCUCCAGCAAUAUUUUCCAGUGGCUUCUCUUGUGAUAUGGAAUGCUUGAUAUUAUACAGCCACGAGAGUGGCUGUAUCCUAUAGUCAGUAGGGAUUUUUCGCAUUCUACCAUGUUAAAUGAAAAUACCCACACACACACACCUUUCUGGUGCUUUGUAUAAUCCCACUUCAAAACAAAAACUUACAAGUCUUAUACUGUUGGAUUCAGAAUCACUUGCUCUACAACUCUCAAAGUUUUCUUGGUGAUACACAACCCCCCCCACAGAGAAUCCAGAGGUUAAAGUGAAAAACGGGAGAGAGAAAAACAAGAAGCUGUUUGGACUUUUUUCUUGAGAAGUUCUCAUAAUCUGUUGUCAUUCAUUAAAAUUCAGAGAUGACUGUAAGGUAUCUCUAAUCAAAUCCCUGAGCUUGCCCCAAACACAGACCUUCAUCUUCAGUAGGUUUAAAGUAAAAAAACGGCAUGGUUUGUUUUUAAUUAAUAGAUUAAAAAUGCAUAUAAUUUA